rnacentral:lncRNA from 1 species
CAAACAUAGAACACAUUAGGAGAUAUAGGAAGUAUUUGGGAACCUCUGAAAGUUACGUGAUUAGGGACAACUUGACCAAAGUUGGGCUUUAUUAAUAUUUUCCUCACUAUUGCACACAAUGUGGAUUCAAAGAAGGAAUUGAAAAAAGGAUAGCCUCAGCCAAUAGGAAACGAAGAUUAACCAUAAAGGAUUCAAAGUAGAAGCAGGAGGUGACCUAGCCACACGGCAGCCCAUCCACAUGUUGGAAGAAAACCGAAGUAAAAAGAUAUUUCUCGGCUCAGGAUUCUUGGAAAAUCUCUAGAAACAGAAAGUAGAUUAACCUCAUAGUCUUGCUGGUUUAGCAGAAAUUUUCAGAAGUCAAAAGGAGUUAGAAAGUGAAUCUCUACCCCCAAAUUUAACAUAUUUGCCUGCACAUGUUCAUGCCCUCAUCAGUCAAAAGGGAUCAUUUUUAGUUCUUUACAUAUACAUUUGAUAAGUAAUAUAAAAUGCCUCUGCCUUCAAACUGUGACAUCACUGUCUGAUUUACCAAGGUUCAAGGAAAAGAAGAAGCCACUUAGAGAGUAAUGAGCCAGCUGAAAAGAGCAGCACUCAGUCCUCACCGUCUUGGUCCAGUCUUCUCCAUGUGAAGAGCUGUCUGGAUGUGAACACAUUCACGAGAUCAUCUUAGGGAACUCAAACCCAUCUUACAAUAUGAUCAUUCUUCAAUCAGCAAUGAUCUUUGUUACACAAAAAUAUAUCAAAUGUUAGUUUUAUUUCUGUUAAAACUCAUUAAUAUAAAGUAAAAUUUCAGAGUGCUUUUGUGAAACUGGGAAUCAGAAUGAGCCUUUCCUAAUAAGCUGGUCCUGGAACUCUGAAGUCAGAUAUUUGUGGUCAUAGCCUCUAUUGUUAUCUUGAAUUUUUGUUGUUGUUGUUGUAAACCUCUCAACUCUUCAAAGGACCUCUUUGUUAACAUUCCCAUUAUUCAGAAUUAGUUCCAUGCCUGAACUCCUGCUCCCUAGACGGCAAACACAACUCCAUGGUCAAUCCAUAGCUUCACUAAUGGCAACUCCAGUCACAUAACAGAUGGGAACACUAAUGAAUAAAAUGCCCUCUGUCAGAACAAACAUUAUCUAUCUAUAUCUACAUUUAUAUCUAUCUUCAUUUAUCUCUAUCUAUAUAAAAAUGUAAUCACAGAAACCGUGGUUCAUUUUCUGAUCCAGAAAUCAGCUCUAGUGGUUGCUGAUAUUCUUUUGAAGACCAUAGAAAUAAGCAUUUUAGAUCAGUAUUAUCAAAGAAAUUCCCAAAUGCAUGAUCAUUUUGAAGAGAAUACUCUGACACUUCUCAUAACUUCAUCUUAAUUCUCAAUAAAUCUCUCUUCAUCCUGUUAUUUUGUAGUCAAUAUUCUGUGUUCUAAUAUGUAGAGCUGGGAAUACAAGGAUAGUGGGUAUGGGAAACUGGAUAAUGUGAAAAAUACUAGUGGGGUAAAUUUACAUAUGGCAUGAAGAGAAUAUUUACCCAACAAAUUAACUGUUAAAAUUUAGCUUAAGUCAUGCCUAUAAGGUAUAUAAAUUCUUUAAUUUGCUGAAUUCUUCUUCUUUUGAUACUUUUUUCUGUAGGUCAUUUUAAACGUUUCUUGCUUUAUUCUCUCUCCACUAAUUAGUCGUUACAUUUUCAACAAUAUUUUGUAGGGUAACAAGUGAGUUACUUUUCGCAUUUGAAAUUUCAACAACCAGACCAAGAAAGCUCAAGCUACUUUCCUUUAAGUAGUUUCUGGCAAAGAAUUCUGACGUAGGUAACUUACUGUUUACAUGCUACAUCCUGCCGAGUUCUGGAUUUGGACUUGGAGAAUCUGUGAUAGAGAAAUUCUUAAAUGUUUAGCUCAGUUUGAACUAAUGUUUUUGUUUGGAAUUUGCACGUAAUUUUUUCCAAAUAAACUAUAUGAGAAAAUCG